rnacentral:lncRNA from 1 species
CCUCAGAACAGCUGUGGUUUCCCUGCUCUGCAGCACCUGGAGAGGGUGGGGCAGGGACGGCUCUCCUGAAUUCCAGUCGCUUGGGCCAUUUCUGGUGAGCUCCCUUCCAAAGAACCCAAGCCCAACCUGAAAGAUACCCAAGUCCAACUUGCAGGAGACAGUAAGGACCAGAAACCCAGUUGUUUCCUUCAUCCUUCUAGCUGUGUGUGGCUGUGUGCAGAGAAUUUUUCAGAGCAGGACCUCACUCCUGAAAUGUGUAUACCCUGAGUCCUCACAGAGGGUGUCUACAUGUGUCCCGCAUUUUCAUAAGGAUCACCCAGGCAGAGACAUAGGUCCUCUGGCUGCUCACAGUCACAGUGAUGGUGGCAAAGAUGUCCUCAGGGACCCCAGAAGCAAAAACUGCCAUCUUUCUAGAGGGGGUGGAGAAGACUUCAAAGAAGAGGAACCACUGAAGUAAGCAAGGAGGAAGGUUGAUUUACUAACAUUGCAAGAUUUUCCAUGUGGAGAGGCUCCAAGGAGGUUAUUUCAGCAGCUGUUCAGAGGAGCCAGGUCAUUUCUGUGUGUUUGCCCUGCAAUUCUCAGGUUGGGUUGGCCCUUGAUUGCCCCCCCCCAUGGCUGCCUCAUCUGCAUUGUAUCCACGUACAUGUGAUUGUGUCCAAUAUAAGAGUUAAAAAAUAC